rnacentral:lncRNA from 1 species
UAUGUGUGUGUGCAUAUGUAUGCAUAUAUGCAUCCGUGCUACACAUAUGUAUUUCCAGCCUGUUUUACCAGAUUGUUUGCCUUCAUCCAAGAUGAGCAGCAAAUUGUAAAAUAAUGUUAUAAUCAUGGAGAUUAACGAUAGGUUUUCACCCUGUUCUUACCUCCCCUGAAUAUUCUGGCAUAGUUUUGGUUUCACUCUACUCUUUGACCUUUGGAUUUCUGAACUUUGUUUUACCUUUUUUUGUUUGUUUUCUUGGAGAGGUUUUAACCUACUGGGGCCAUUGUCAUUUACAGGAAGCUACAGGAAGCCUGUGUGUCUGCCUCUGCGGGUGGGAGAAGGGGACAAGCUGACAAGUGAGAAGACAGAGGAGGAGCUGAGACACCUGACACAAUGCAUUCAAAUGAAAGUUUUUGUCCUAAAGAAUAAGUAAAAAAAAAAAAAAUUAAAUUUUAUAGAGAUGAGAGGUAAGUCAACUAAACUACUACUGGAUUAAAUAGGUUCCAGAAAAUAUUAACACUGGUACAUUUUAUUUAAGUAGAUGGAUUCUUAAGGAACCUUUAAUAUGAAGAAGUAAAAUAUAAGCUCUUCAUAUUUUCCUGUUUAGAUGACUAUCUCCUUGAAUCAUUUAAAACUGAAUUCAAAGACAGUUGACUCACAUGUCCUCAUUUUACCAAUAUUAGGAAAUGAUUAGGGAGUGUCAU